rnacentral:rRNA from 1 species
AUGAGCUCUCCCGCUGCCACGGCCGCCGACCAAGAGGGGGAGGAGAUGCCCCCGACCAAGACAAGUCGAGUAGAAGAGGAGCAUCAAGACGAAGACCAAGCUCCCUGCGACCCGUGGACGUACUGCUGCCAAAGUGACUCGGAGUCCUGCCCAAGCCCCUCCGCCGCCGCCGCCGCCGCCAACGACUCCGAGGACGACCCGGAGGAUUUAACUGAGGAGGGACUGAAAGCGAGGAACGCUGUCCUGGCGGUGUCCAAGUCCGUCGUCGCCCUAGCCGCGUCCAUAGUGGGAGCAGAUGGGGAUCCCCCGUCCACCUUGGCCUGCACGGGCACGGUGGUCUCUCACGAGGACUCUGCGACCUGGAUCUUAACCUCUGCAACUCUCAUCAGGAAGCAGGGAACCGACACCGAGGUACAUGAAGCAUCCAUUGCCAAGAUUGAGGUGCUCCUGCAUAACAAGAAGGUUGUCAACGGGCAGUUGCUCAUGUAUGAUUUGCAGUAUAAUGUCGCUGUUGUUUCCAUUGAUAUUCAAGCCGAUCUCCCUGUAGUGGUGCUCAGUGACCUCCCUGAAUCCUACUUCUUGACACCUAGUCCGGUGGUUGCCAUUGCCCGGAAAUUUGAGUUUCAAAGUUUGCAGAUGAAACGCGGUAACACAUGCCGCACAGUUAGCGACUUAGACUGUAAUGAACUUAUGAUCAGCACUUGCCAAAUUGAGCAGGUUUUCAUUGGAGGGCUUCUGAUAGAUUUAGAGGAAAAAAUUGUUGGGAUGAAUUUCAUAGACGACGAAACUACUCCUUUCUUGCCAGUUCAGGUUGUUCGCGGAUGCCUGACACACUUUAAAAAAUUUCGGGAAAUCAAACAACCUUGGCUUGGAAUACGGGGACGAGCCCUUCAUGUGUUGGAAUUAGCCAAGCUGGAGAAAAUAUGCCAUCGGUGCCCUAAGCCACAUUCUGGUAUUCUUGUGGACAUGAUUCCUGAAGCAUCACGUGCAAAUUGUGAGGGCGUUGAGGUUGGUGAUAUCCUUAAUCAGCUUGAUGGAGUUGUUUUACACUCUCCAGGACAGGUAUUAUUUUGGAAAAAAUGGUCAUGUUAG